CGUGUCGUGAGAUGUUGGGUUAAGUCCCGCAACGAGCGCAACCCCUAUUGUUAGUUGCCAUCAUUCAGUUGGGCACUCUAGCGAGACUGCCGGUAAUAAACCGGAGGAAGGUGGGGAUGACGUCAAAUCAUCAUGCCCCUUAUGACCUGGGCUACACACGUGCUACAAUGGUUGGUACAACGAGUUGCGAGUCGGUGACGGCGAGCUAAUCUCUUAAAGCCAAUCUCAGUUCGGAUUGUAGGCUGCAACUCGCCUACAUGAAGUCGGAAUCGCUAGUAAUCGCGGAUCAGCACGCCGCGGUGAAUACGUUCCCGGGCCUU
rnacentral:rRNA from 1 species